ACAGAGCCCGACGCGGGGCAUGAACUCCUGAACCGCGAGAUCAAGACCUGAGCCAAAGUCGGACGCUCGACCGACUGAGCCCCCCCAGGCGCCCCGACUCUGCCUUGAUCUUGGACUUGCAGCCUGCACGGCUGUGAGAAUAAACGUGGUUUAAGCCACCUGGUCUGUGCUAUUUUGUCGCAGCAGCCUGAGCGGACUGAGGCAGGGAGCACGGGGCCCGUGGCUGGGUGUCGAGAGACUUCAUUUCUGUCCCUCUUCUGCUAGCGUGACUCUUGGCCGGGGUUGCCCUUCUCUGGGACUCAGUUUCCCCAUCUGUAAAGGCAGGACCAUUAACUCUACAGAUAACAGGUGAUGCUAGAGAAAGUCACCUCUCCAACGUCUGUGCAGCCGGGGGGUCGGCAUUCGGGUUUUCUUCUCGGGGCCGCGGGGAGGACGAAGGAACGUUCUGGGCCGUCACCGCCCCCAGGUCAGCAGCCUCUGACCAGAGCCAGCUUCUUGAAUGAAUGAAUAAGUGGGUGAGUGAAUAACUGAAACGACGAUGACCUUCAAGCCCCGUGGGAAAAUGCUCUCGGUCUUUGCCAAUCAAUAGUGAUCUGUGCCCCACUUUCUAAGUCACGUCCUAGACAGCGGUCGCCAGGCUCAGAUGCAUGCCACAGUGAUUCGCGGACCAGACAGCUGGGCGGGGGGGGGGAGGGAGGCCGGAGAGGUCACACGGCCUGGCCCCCCCCGUGCCACACGCCUCUCUCCUGUCUCGGCGGGCGAAGAAGGAGUGUCGCACACGCCCGUCUUUUCAUUCAGCCCUCCCUGGUGGUGGGCUUGUUGGGCUCAUCGGUCGUGUCGGGACCAGCUUUCAGAGAGUUUCUUUAAAUUGCACGCGAGGGUUGCCCUGGAUGAGCUUGCCAGAUGCGAAGGACCUCCGCCUGAGGGAGAAGACCCUGAUGAGGUUGCCACCACCCUAUUUUCACCUUCAGCCCCGGACGGGCCUGCACCCUAGAGGAGCACUGAGGCAGACUGGCAUUUUCUUAAGGAUCUCAAUCAAAUACCAAGAGGGGACCCAAAGAGACUAUAUCUCUUUUUGGGGGGUGUGCCAUGCUUCAUUUUAUUUUAUUCUAUUUUGUUUUGGGGCGCUUGGGUGGCUCAGUCGGUUGACCGUCGGACUUCGCUCAGGUCACGAUCUCACGGUCUGU